CCUACGGGAGGCUGCAGUGAGGCAUAUUGGUCAAUGGGCGCGCGCCUGAACCAGCAAAGUCGCGUGAGGGAAGACGGUCCUAUGGAUUGUAAACCUCUUUUGUCUGGGAGCAACAGACGCCACGCGUGGCGUUCCGAGAGUACCCGAAGAAAAAGCAUCGGCCAACUCCGUGCCAGCAGCCGCGGUAAUACGGAAGAUGCGAGCGUUAUCAGGAUUUAUUGGGUUAAAAGGGUGCGCAGGCGGAAGAUCAAGUCAGCGGUACAGUUGAGAGGCUCAACCUCUUCGAGCCGUUGAAACUGGUUUUCUUGAGUGAGCGAGAAGUAUGCGGAAUGCGUGGUGUAGCGGUGAAAUGCAUAGAUAUCACGCAGAACUCCGAUUGCGAAGGCAGCAUACCGGCGCUCAACUGACGCUCAUGCACGAAAGUGUGGGUAUCGAACAGGAUUAGAUACCCUAGUAGUC
rnacentral:rRNA from 1 species